AGAAGAUAAAGGAAUACUGUGAGAGGUGCCAUCCCCCGGUACUUGGAGGGAGGUUGCUCACAGUGAGCUUGCAUUAUUUAA
rnacentral:miRNA from 1 species